AAUGAACGUUGGCGGCGUGGAUUAGGCAUGCAAGUCGUACGGGUCGGUGUAGCGAUACAACGGCAAGUGGCGAAAGGGAGAGUAACACGUAGAUACCUACCCUCUGGUCGGGGAUACCGCGGCAUAACCGCAAGUAAUACCCGAUAAAAUCUCCGGAUCAAAGGUGUGAUUCCGCCGGAGGAGGGGUCUGCGUUCUAUCAGCUUGUUGGUGAGGUAAUGGCUCACCAGGGCUAAGACGGAUACGGGGUGUGAGAGCAUGCCCCCGCUCACUGGGACUGAGACACUGCCCAGACACCUACGGGUGGCUGCAGUCGAGAAUCUUCGGCAAUGGGCGCAAGCCUGACCGAGCGACGCCGCGUGCGGGAUGAAGGCCUUCGGGUUGUAAACCGCUGUCGAGGGGAAUGAAGUGUAGGUGGGUACUCCCAUCUAUUUGACAGAUCCCUGGAGGAAGCAUGGGCUAAGUUCGUGCCAGCAGCCGCCGUAACAC
rnacentral:rRNA from 1 species